UGUGGGAGGGGGCUUGCUCCCGAUAGCGUAGGUCAGUCAAUGAUCAGCUGAAUAUUACACCGCCAUCGGGAGCAAGCCCCCUCCCACA
rnacentral:misc_RNA from 1 species